GAUGAACGCUGGCGGCGUGCUUAACACAUGCAAGUCGAACGAAGCACUUUAUUUGAUUCCUUCGGGACUGAUUAUUUUGUGACUGAGUGGCGGACGGGUGAGUAACGCGUGGGUAACCUGCCUUGUACAGGGGGAUAACAGUUGGAAACGGCUGCUAAUACCGCAUAAGCGCACAGCAUCGCAUGAUGCAGUGUGAAAAACUCCGGUGGUAUAAGAUGGACCCGCGUUGGAUUAGCUAGUUGGUGAGGUAACGGCCCACCAAGGCGACGAUCCAUAGCCGACCUGAGAGGGUGACCGGCCACAUUGGGACUGAGACACGGCCCAAACUCCUACGGGAGGCAGCAGUGGGGAAUAUUGCACAAUGGGCGAAAGCCUGAUGCAGCGACGCCGCGUGAGCGAAGAAGUAUUUCGGUAUGUAAAGCUCUAUCAGCAGGGAAGAUAAUGACGGUACCUGACUAAGAAGCACCGGCUAAAU
rnacentral:rRNA from 1 species